AGACACUCCUGGAGAGUGCAGCGGCAUCCAGAAGCAAAGCUUGCAUUCUCUUGCCAAGUGGACUUCCUAACUUCACUGAAAAGCGUUCACUUUUUCAGCUCGCAAAAACUCUUCAAGGACAACGGGUAAGAUGUACGUGGAAGUUAAAAUUGAGGGGGCAGAUUCUGGAGCGGAGGAUGAAAUUCACACGUUCCAGGAAUCAGUAUCGUUGUGAACAUCAGGGCAGCAGUUCUGGUCACAUGGAUUUAUAAACACCAAGAAGUAGCAAUAGCCAGUGUGCAAGUCACUGACAACCCAAGUCACCAAAAAUCUUACUGAGAACCAAUUAGCUCCUUGAAUUAAAGAUUAUUUUGUGAAAA
rnacentral:lncRNA from 1 species